rnacentral:rRNA from 1 species
AGCUCCAAUAGCGUAUAUUAAAGUUGUUGCAGUUAGAACGCUCGUAGUCGGAUUUCGGGGCGGGUCGACCGGUCUGCCGAUGGGUACGCACUGGCCGACGCGUCCUUCCUUCCGGAGACCGUCUCACUCUUAACUGAGCGGAGGCGGGAGACGGAACGUUUACUUUGAAAAAAUCAGAGUGUUUCAAGCAGGCAGCUCGCUCUUGCAUGGAUUAGCAUGGGAUAAUGAAAUAGGACUUUGGUGCUAUUUUGUUGGUUUCGAACACCGAAGUAAUGAUGAGCAGGGACAGUCAGGGGCACUCGUAUUCCGCCGAGAGAGGUGAAAUUCUCAGACCAGCGGAAGACGAACUACUGCGAAAGCAUUUGCCAGGGAUGUUUUCACUG